rnacentral:snRNA from 1 species
AUACUUCCCUGGCAGGGGAGAUACCAUGACCAAGAAGGUGGUUUUCCCAGGGCAAGGCUUAUCCAUUGCACUCCGGAUGUGCGGAUCCCUGCAAUUUCCCCAAAUGCGGGAAACUCGAUUGCAUAAUUUGUGAUAGUGGGGGACUGCAUUGGUGCUCUCCCCUA